UACGUAGGGCGCAAGCGUUAUCCGGAAUUAUUGGGCGUAAAGAGCUCGUAGGCGGUUUGUCGCGUCUGCCGUGAAAGUCCGGGGCUCAACUCCGGAUCUGCGGUGGGUACGGGCAGACUAGAGUGAUGUAGGGGAGACUGGAAUUCCUGGUGUAGCGGUGAAAUGCGUAGAUAUCAGGAGGAACACCGGUGGUGUAGACGGCUCUCUGGACCGUAACUGACGCUGAGGCACGAAAGCGUGGGUAGCAAACAGG
rnacentral:rRNA from 1 species